GCCGCGCUAGUGAAGCAGUUUAACCUCACUAAUGCACAGAUGGAGCACGCCACUUCACUUCCGCGUGAGAGAGAAAAACGGGAAAAAAGAGAGAGGAAAAACCGUCGUUGAAGCACUUUCCGGCCGCGUUUCUCCUGAAAAAUCCAUUGGUCAGGUUCUAUUGUGAUGCUUGGAAAGAGUGAAGCUUCAGCUUUCAUGUCUGACGAAGCUGAUGAGCGAUCCAGCUGAUGGCGAGCUCCCAGUCCACCUUCGCUGCUUCAAACAGAACCUUUAAUUCCGCCACACCACUUAACGGAUUAAGUGGUAGGAUUUGUGUCAGUCCAACUGACCGGCACCAACGAAAGCCUUCCUUGGAUAUCCUUGAAUCUUGACUUUUGACUUUGACUUUUGGAUCCAAACCACCGAGGAACACUCCCAUUUGGACAUUUAUUUAUUUUAUUUUAUUUCUUAGUAUAUGGGCCCAAGGUUGUAAUGUUAUUGUGUUUAGUAUUAAGAUCUUUGUGGAACUAAAGAGUUUCAAAUCAUUCUGCCUCUGUGUCCAGUGGUUAUUGUUUCACUCGGCUCCUACGAACCUAGUAUGUGACGUGUACAUACCCUGAAGUUGGUUACAUUUAAAAAAAAAAAAAAAAUGUUUCUUAUAUUUUAUGUCGGUAGUUUGUAUUAGUUUGUGCUUCUCUUUUCAAGUGGUGUAAAGAAAUUAAAAAUAUUUUUUGGACAUUCAUAUUUUUGAAUUUUAUUUAAAAGGUAUUGGUUUAGAUUACAGUACUAAUGGUUAAAAAAGGAGCUCAGAUUAAAAAAAAUGUUAAAAUACAGGUUUCUGGUGAAUAAUAAAAAAAUUGCAGUGGCUGCAUUUUUAUUAGAACAUCUUAAUACGUUCAAUAGACGUCUAUAAGACGAGUAGUUUUUGUAAGGGGUUUAGAUCUGGUACAAAAGUAAAUGUCUAGCAAACGUCUAAAUUUAUACGUCUAUAAAUAGACGUUCAUUAGCGGUUAUUUAAACGUCUAAGAUCAGAAGAGGCGUAUGAAUUUGGUAUAUAAAUGAACGUCUAAUAAACGUCUAAGUUUAGACGUCUACAAAUAGACGUAUAUUAGUGGUUAUUUAAACGUCUAAGAUGAGACGAGGCGUACAGACGUAGACGGCUAAAAGACGGCUAAUGCUUAGACGUCUAAAAGACGUCUAGCUUAGACCGCUAAAAAACUUUCAUUUUUAGACCACUGGUAGACCAAUUUUAGACUAGACGUCGAAGAACAAUUAGACGUCAUUUAGACGUCAUUUAGACCGAAAAAUGCUCAGUGGGAAUUAACCCACUGGACAUCACUUAUCUGGGUUAUUUCUCCGUUAAACGCUUCCAAGCUGCCUCCGCAUCCUU